rnacentral:rRNA from 1 species
AACGAACGCUGGCGGCGCGCCUAAUACAUGCAAGUCGAGCGAGAAGGUGUAGCAAUACACUUGUAAAGCGGCGAACGGGUGAGGAAUGCAUGGGUAACCUACCCUCGAGUGGGGAAUAACUAGCCGAAAGGUUAGCUAAUACCGCAUACGUUUCCGGAACUUCGGUUUCGGAAAGAAAGCAAUACCGUGGGUAUUGCGCUCCUGGAUGGGCUCAUGUCCUAUCAGCUUGUUGGUGAGGUAACGGCUCACCAAGGCUUCGACGGGUAGCUGGUCUGAGAGGACGAUCAGCCACACUGGCACUGCGACACGGGCCAGACUCCUACGGGAGCAGCAGUAAGGAAUAUUGCGCAAUGGACGAAAGUCUGACGCAGCGACGCCGCGUGGGGGAUGAAGGUCUUCGGAUUGAAAACCCCCUUUCGGGAGGGAAGAUGGAGUGGGUAACCACUUGGACGGUACCUCCAGAAGCAGCCACGGCUAACUUCGUGCCAGCAGCCGCGGUAAU